rnacentral:lncRNA from 1 species
GGCUAGCAGAGUGGGGUUAGCUCCUUCCUGUUUGCUCCUGGGCCCGUCAGGGGACUUCCUGUUCGAGUUUCUGUGAGGGCUCCGCCAGCAGUUCAGGUCAGGAGUUGCAGUUCCUUCCCACAGCAGCCGAGUCCCCUGUGAAGCCAGACAAGCAGAGGCAACCGCAGUGUCCCCCGAGUCUCCAGGCCAGUGGACGGCUGCUCUCCUCAGAUGCAGAGAAAAGAACUGAGGGUAUCUACUCCCCGGAAAGUCCGUCUGCGGAGGAAGAGCAGGAGGCAGAAGCGGCAGCAGCGUCCAGGUCGGAGUUCCACCUUCCAGAAGCCUAACCUUGUUGUUGAGGAAGAGGAGGAGGUGGAGGGAGAAGAUGAGGAAGGCAAGGCCUCCAUCGAGGUUGCCACUAAAAGCCGUUACCAGGGCGCAGCCAAAAAGAAACAAGCCAUGUCUUCUUCAGAUUGCUAUCGUGAGAGACCAGGGGAAGAAAAAGCCAGAGGAUUACUCAAAGCAAAGAGAUUCGAGAGUGACCGAGGAGACAAACCCUCCAGAAGAAGACAAAGAAGAAAGAGGAGAGCUGAGAUGUAGCUGUGCACUGGUGUCUCGUACAGUCAAGUUGUUAGAUCCCUGUUUGUGCUGGGACUGAAUCUCGGGCUUUGUGCGCUGAACUGCUUCCUACUACUUACGUACAUCCCUAGCCCAUCAAGUCUAUCCAAGACAGAACAAUCGCUUUGACCUACAUGAAGCAAUGAGAUGGGCUAUGCAGAAACCCCUAGAUUCCAUUUUCAUUUCAUGUAUGUAUGUAUGUAUGUAUUAUGCAUCUUUUGUUUUGUUUUGUUUUGAAAUGAGCUCUCACCAUGUAGCCCUGGCUGGCCUGGAAUUCACUAGAUCUACCUGUCUCUACCUCCAGAUGGCUGGGAUUAACUGUGUGCGGCCCCACCCCCUUUAUUCUUUUAUAACAUUAUUUUGUGGUUGUCCAGUAAAAGCGUUUUGGCCACUACUAGCUCCAGAAAGCAUUCAGAUUCAUCUAGAAUACCCAGAGGUCCUUAAGUUCAGUUUCAGGCUCAGGGCUCCUACACAUGGUACCGAUCUGGAGCCUCUGAUAGAUCCAUGAACCUCUAGGCUAGCUCUACAGACCAUGAAAGGAAGCUUAACAUUUGAAGGGCAAAACUGUUUGGCAGUUUUACAUUACAGGUGGUUUAGCCAUGCAGACUUCAUCCCUGGGCUCUGCAGUUUUAACUGGGAUGCCUCAGGGAACACUCAGGGAGCACUGAUCGGCCCCGCCCAUAGCGCUCUCGGCCUCUCACACUCAGGAGAGCUGCACCUUGGGCUGCAUGAGUUUUCAUGACUCACCAUCCCUAGAGGAUAAACACGGCCAUUUUUAUUUAUAAAACACUGAUUUCAGCCAGGUCUGGCUGACUUACAGCUCAGGCUUAAUUGCAGCAUUUGAAAGAUUGAGGCAGGAGGACUACUUUGAGUCUGAGGCCAGCCUGGGGCCGUUAGUAAUGUACUUCAAGGCAAUUACUGAAUGUACUUGAACCAAAAAUAAUUUCAUAUGUUCUAAUUUACACACACUCUUGUCUUUCCAUAAAACUAAAUUGGCGUAUACAAAAGACAUGUUUUGCAGUAAGGCAAAGGACAUUGGGCGUCAGUCACCCCACACCCCACCCUCAGAGUCAGUGAAACCUCUUAUGGACAGACCCAACUGCAUACUGAUACAAAGAUGGCCUACUACUGACCAUUCUGCAUGGUUCAACCCUGGCAGUACAGGCUACAAAUUGGGUGGCUCCAACAGACUUAAUGCCUCACAUCCUAACACCAAGGCUUAGUCCUAGUGAGGGCUUACAGAUGGCCAGCUACCUUCUUGCUGCUCCUAAACAACCAUGAGUUCUAUGAUGAGAGUCACUUUGGGGACCUUGUAUACUCUCACUUGCCUUCCAGAUGUCCAUCUCCAAAUCCCACCACUACUCCCAGUCGGGGCUUCAGCACAGGAAUUUGGGGAGGAUAAAAAUAGAGUCCAUAAGGCAGGAAAGAGCAUCUCAGGGGAAUGAAUAAGCUUUAUCUUUUACUAAUAAGUCAGCUUAGCAUACAGAGCAGGGUUUCCCAGUGGCAUCUUCAUACACAUGGUAUUCUCUGUUCCCAUUCACUCUCCUCACCACAGUAAGCUUGUUCCUGGAGGAGCCAUAAGGAGUGAAUGUCAGGUCCUAAAACUAAAGAGAUUAAAAAAAAAGUCUGAAUAUAGGAUAUUUGAUGAACUUUAUAAAGCUACUUAUUUCAGUAUGCAAUGUUUAAAUGCCUAUGGUCUAGUCUUCAAAAGAAACUUUAUUGUGUUAUAAACUGUGCGGGUAAUACUUGUUAUUUAAAUGUCAGAAAAUUAAUUGCUUUUCCACUUAUAGAACAUUUCAAGUGUUUUGAUAUGUUAGUACGAGAAGAACUUUAAUACUUGACUUCAGAGGACAGAGAAAUACACAGUGCCACAAAGGCCUGUUCAGGCUUCAAACAAAACCAAGACAAAUGUAACUGGUGAAUAAGACUGAGACAAAUAAAGUGGGUAUGUGGAAUCACA